GGGUUGUGAGGUUAAGCGACUAAGCGUACACGGUGGAUGCCCUGGCAGUCAGAGGCGAUGAAGGACGUGCUAAUCUGCGAUAAGCGUCGGUAAGGUGAUAUGAACCGUUAUAACCGGCGAUUUCCGAAUGGGGAAACCCAGUGUGAUUCGUCACACUAUCAUUAACUGAAUCCAUAGGUUAAUGAGGCGAACCGGGGGAACUGAAACAUCUAAGUACCCCGAGGAAAAGAAAUCAACCGAGAUUCCCCCAGUAGCGGCGAGCGAACGGGGAGCAGCCCAGAGCCUGAAUCAGUGUGUGUGUUAGUGGAAGCGUCUGGAAAGGCGCGCGAUACAGGGUGACAGCCCCGUACACAAAAAUGCACAUGCUGUGAGCUCGAUGAGUAGGGCGGGACACGUGGUAUCCUGUCUGAAUAUGGGGGGACCAUCCUCCAAGGCUAAAUACUCCUGACUGACCGAUAGUGAACCAGUACCGUGAGGGAAAGGCGAAAAGAACCCCGGCGAGGGGAGUGAAAAAGAACCUGAAACCGUGUACGUACAAGCAGUGGGAGCCUCUUUAUGGGGUGACUGCGUACCUUUUGUAUAAUGGGUCAGCGACUUAUAUUCUGUAGCAAGGUUAACCGAAUAGGGGAGCCGAAGGGAAACCGAGUCUUAACUGGGCGUUAAGUUGCAGGGUAUAGACCCGAAACCCGGUGAUCUAGCCAUGGGCAGGUUGAAGGUUGGGUAACACUAACUGGAGGACCGAACCGACUAAUGUUGAAAAAUUAGCGGAUGACUUGUGGCUGGGGGUGAAAGGCCAAUCAAACCGGGAGAUAGCUGGUUCUCCCCGAAAGCUAUUUAGGUAGCGCCUCGUGAAUUCAUCUCCGGGGGUAGAGCACUGUUUCGGCAAGGGGGUCAUCCCGACUUACCAACCCGAUGCAAACUGCGAAUACCGGAGAAUGUUAUCACGGGAGACACACGGCGGGUGCUAACGUCCGUCGUGAAGAGGGAAACAACCCAGACCGCCAGCUAAGGUCCCAAAGUCAUGGUUAAGUGGGAAACGAUGUGGGAAGGCCCAGACAGCCAGGAUGUUGGCUUAGAAGCAGCCAUCAUUUAAAGAAAGCGUAAUAGCUCACUGGUCGAGUCGGCCUGCGCGGAAGAUGUAACGGGGCUAAACCAUGCACCGAAGCUGCGGCAGCGACGCUUAUGCGUUGUUGGGUAGGGGAGCGUUCUGUAAGCCUGCGAAGGUGUACUGUGAGGUAUGCUGGAGGUAUCAGAAGUGCGAAUGCUGACAUAAGUAACGAUAAAGCGGGUGAAAAGCCCGCUCGCCGGAAGACCAAGGGUUCCUGUCCAACGUUAAUCGGGGCAGGGUGAGUCGACCCCUAAGGCGAGGCCGAAAGGCGUAGUCGAUGGGAAACAGGUUAAUAUUCCUGUACUUGGUGUUACUGCGAAGGGGGGACGGAGAAGGCUAUGUUGGCCGGGCGACGGUUGUCCCGGUUUAAGCGUGUAGGCUGGUUUUCCAGGCAAAUCCGGAAAAUCAAGGCUGAGGCGUGAUGACGAGGCACUACGGUGCUGAAGCAACAAAUGCCCUGCUUCCAGGAAAAGCCUCUAAGCAUCAGGUAACAUCAAAUCGUACCCCAAACCGACACAGGUGGUCAGGUAGAGAAUACCAAGGCGCUUGAGAGAACUCGGGUGAAGGAACUAGGCAAAAUGGUGCCGUAACUUCGGGAGAAGGCACGCUGAUA
rnacentral:rRNA from 1 species